GCAAUGAAAUGGAACAGCAUGGAGCUUCAGCAAGGGUGCUUGACUUUAUAACCCGGCUUAAAUUAAUCGUGGUUGUAGAGUCAUGCACCUCUGCUGGCUCUCCUGCUUGGACAUUAUACUUGU
rnacentral:miRNA from 19 species